CAGCAGUGGACAAGCUGUGGGAUUUGCUGCAAGGGCAAGAAUAUUUGACGGAAGGAAAGCAUUCUUUGCUCGGCAGGCACCAAUUUUUGCAUCUUAUUCAUCUAGAGGUCCCAAUGUGAACAAUGCACUUUUGCAAACUGCUGAUGUCCUCAAACCAAAUGUCACGGCUUCAGGAUCCUCCAUCUGGGCUGCUUGGACCCCCGACAACGAAGGAGAUCCUUCUAUCAAGGGUACGGACACAGUUUUAAAGUUGUUUGAUGGGUAACCAGCAUCACUUAUGCCCUCUAAAUUAUCGGAUGACUGGUCUCGAUAUCAGAAUGCAAGACUUGGUAUCUUCAUCUCACCCGGCAUUAUUUGCGGAAGCAAUGCCAUUUUAAGCCCCUUAAGUUUGCAAAUAGACAUUGUAAAGUACUUUCAAGUGCAUCAUCUACUUCAAUAGCAAGAUGAUGAUGUUGGGCAAACUUGUAUCCGGUACUGGCAUGGCUGCUCCUAACAUAGCUGGUGUGGCGGCUUUAAUCAAGCAAAAACACCCUAGGUGGAGUCCUGCAGCUAUCACAUCAGCAAUGAUGACAGCAGCCAACAUUUGACCAUUCUGGCCCUCCCAUUUUAGCACAACUAGGUAACCAACUAGCUCCUGCUACUCCGUUCGAUUUUGAUGAUGGAUCCAUAAAUCCGGCUCUCGACCCAGGAGAUCAUAUUCAAUUCUUAUUUUGAAAAAUAUGUCCAGUUUCUUUGUGCUGUUCCAGGUGUUGAUGAAGGUUCUGUAAGAUGAGCAGUAGGAACUGAUUGUCCAACAAAGAAAGGUGAUUCGACGGAUUACAAACGUCAGUAGCAGGAAGUUUAUAGAGUGACUGUGAGGCAACCAUCAGGUGUAAACGUUACUGUCUCCCCUAAGUUUUUUUGAUAAAUUCCAAAGCUUCCAAGCAUCUUAGGAUUGUGUUGACAGCAAAUAAAGGCAUCGAGAACUUACCAUUUUGUUUGGCAUGGUGAUUCUGGCAGGCAGGAGAAUUAAUGUUUUUCUUUGUUUUUGGGGAGAGAAAUGAAGUAAGACAUGCAUGUCUUCAUAAAAUAUGUAGUAUAAUUUUUGCAUGCUUGCUUGAACGAGUAGGGCAUAAAAAUAGUGGUAGAUGAGAACCGGCUAAUUUGUAAAGGGAGUUUUAUACCGAGAGUCACUGCAGGGUUUCAUUUA